UAGUUUACUACCAUUCUGCUCCAAAUCCAUUGCCUCUCUUGUGCUUUAUGAUUCUAGAGUUGGACCCUGCAAACAUGCUUCCUUAUCUUGCUGCACAAUGCCGAGCUUUGUCAGUAGAGGGCGCUGGAGGGACAUUGACGAACCGGCCCGCUCAGGCGUUCCGGGUGUCCUUGCUCUUCUUGCUUCUAAGGCGCAGCCGCUUUGGUGCUAAUUCUCCAGCUUCCAGCUCAGCUGCCCUGCCCCAUGAUUUCCUACUCGCCAGCCUCGGUUUUCUAGCCGCUUGUGGACUUGCCUUGGGACAGUUGCUGUUCCCAGACUGAGAGAGAGGUGGAGCACAACUAAAUCCAUCCUGCACCCUCAAGCACCACCACUCUGAUCAACUACAAACUGGGGAAGAAGAAAAGUAAAUAGUACCUGUGGCAAAGCCCUGAGAGUGUAUCCUGCUCAUUAUUGCCACUGAAAGAGCUUACAAAUAUAAAGUAUUUUUUAUCAUCUAUAAAUCUAAUCACAUGACAUUUUUCUCCUUAGACACAAACAUAUGGUGAAUUAUAGGAAUGACCUUACUUAUAUUGAAGCACCAUUGCACUAGAAUAAAUUUUCUUUGAUUUUGAGGGCUUCUUUGAGCUUGAUUUCACAUUUUGCUUGCUGACAUUUUAUUUAGGCGUUUUCCAGUGCUAGUCAUGAAUGAGACUGGUCUGUAGUUUUUUUUUUUUUUUUUUUUUUUUGUGUGUGUGUACAUGCAUAUCUGCAUGCAAUCUUUUUCAGAAUUGAUUAUAAUAGUGGAAUAAAGAUCAUUUGAGAGAUGUUUUUUAUUUUAUUCUACUACAAUUUGAGUGGCAUUGAGACUAUCUAGUUUUCGACAAUUUGAUAGAAUUCUCCUGUCAAAUUAUUUGGAAUUAGUUUUUUUAUAGCUAAUUCUUUAUAUUUUUUGUAGUUAUUUUUUCUCUUUCCUCAAUGGAAAUUUGUAUGUUUAUUUCUGAACAUUCCAGAGUUGAUUUUGGUAUAGAGAUGACUCCUGAUGGUUUGACUUAAGAUUUUUCAACUUAUAACAAGUAUGAAAAUUAUAGACGUUCAGUAGAACUCACACUAUGAAUUCCCAUGAUGAUGAUACACAGUAUGAUGAUCUCUCAUGAUGCUGGAUAGUGGCAGUGAGCCAUAGGAACCAGUCAUCCACAUGAUCAGGAGGGAAAGCAGCUGAUGCUGCAUAGUAUACAGUGUUGCUAAGCUGUAAUGUUUGACAUUUUGUUCAUUGAGUACAGUUUUGACUUAUAAUAUUUCAAAGGUUCAGUGGGUUUAUCUGAAUGUAACUCCAUCAGAAGUCAAGGAUCACCUGUGUUGUUUUCCAAGAAAAAGAUCUAAGUCAUCUAGGUUUACCUUUUGAUUUGAAUACAGUUGUGACAAAUAGUUUCUUUUUUAUUUUUGAGGUGUUCUAAGUUUAAUUGGCUAUCUCCUUGUUUUUAUUUCUUAUUUGUGAUUUCUGCCUUUUUUUUCAUUAUUAGGUUGGCUAGUGGUUUAUCUAUGUUGUUGAUUUUUUCCCCAAAGUCCUAGUGUUUUGAUUUAUUAGUUUCUUUUUAUCCGGUUCUCUAUCUCAUUACUUUUACUUCUCAUAUUAUCAUUUCUUUCUUUUGCUUUGUUUUGUAGCUCUUUUCUAAUUUUUAAGACUAGAGCUCAAUUCACUUAAUUUUAUUCUUUUUGUUUUGUUGCAAGGAUGUAAAGCUAUCAGUAUUCCUGUGAUUAUUGGAUUAACUAUAUUAUAUUGAUUUUUGUCUUCAAUGUUUCUUUUUUUAAAUAUUCUACGGUUUUAAUUUUUCUUCUUUUGUCCCAAGGGAAAAUAGGCAAUCUUUGAAUUUCUAAAUAGAAUAUCAGGUUUCAGAAACAGCAGAAGAGCAAAACAUGGAAUUGAAGAAGCCUGCUCUACUCGGUCUUCCAUAGUUUUAGUUUUGAUGAAAAUUUGAAUUCUGAUUAUACUUGAAACAGCAUUUAAAAUGUUUCUGUUACAAAGGGUCUGUCUCUUUCUUAUCUAAGAGUGAUCAGAAUAGCUAUCAUACCUGCAUAAGGUUUCAUCAAAGGCAGGAAAUAAAAAAGUUAACUGUCCAAAUUUAAUGAGUUGUGAUGAGAAAAAAUACAACAGAUUUGUGAUUGCAUCUAGGCUUUUGUUAGUUUCUGUAUCAGCUAUGUUAAAAUUAGUAAAAAGACUUUUUUGGCAUGGCUGGAGGCAUUAUAGCUGAGUAUCAGCUCCCAGACCCUGGUUUCAUUGUCUAGGAACUUAAGCUCAGCCAAAAAAUGGUUAGUGGAUCCUGUCUCUGACCCCAGCAGGAUCUCUGUCAAAUGCAGCAGAUUAGUUAGAAUGGUUACAUGUUACUAAUUCCAAGACUACUGUGGGAAAGCAAAUAAAUAAUUGACUCCACCAUAUUCAUUACAUUCAGAUACAAGAUUUAUUCACACCAACAAAAAUAAUCACAACAAAAUAUACACUCAUUUAAAAAAA